CCUACGGGGGACUGCAGUGGGGGAUAUUGCACAAUGGGGGAAACCCUGAUGCAGCGACGCCGCGUGGGCGAAGAAGUAUUUCGGUAUGUAAAGCCCUAUCAGCAGGGAAGAAGAAAUGACGGUACCUGAGUAAGAAGCACCGGCUAAAUACGUGCCAGCAGCCGCGGUAAUACGUAUGGUGCAAGCGUUAUCCGGAUUUACUGGGUGUAAAGGGAGCGCAGGCGGCACGGCAAGCCUGAUGUGAAAGCCCGCGGCCCAACCGCGGGACUGCAUUGGGAACUACCGGGCUGGAGUGCCGGAGAGGUAGGCGGAAUUCCUAGUGUAGCGGUGAAAUGCGUAGAUAUUAGGAGGAACACCAGUGGCGAAGGCGGCUUACUGGACUGUAACUGACGUUGAGGCUCGAAAGCGUGGGGAGCAAACAGGAUUAGAUACCCUUGUAGUC
rnacentral:rRNA from 1 species